GGCCUUCUUGGCGGGGGCCUUGGUCGCCGCCUUCUUGGCCGGCGUGGUCUUCGCCGGAGCCUUCUUGGCGGGGGCCU
rnacentral:tRNA from 1 species